ACGCUGGCGGCAGGCCUAACACAUGCAAGUCGAGCGGUAGCACGGGAGAGCUUGCUCUCUGGGUGACGAGCGGCGGACGGGUGAGUAAUGUCUGGGAAACUGCCUGAUGGAGGGGGAUAACUACUGGAAACGGUAGCUAAUACCGCAUGACCUCGCAAGAGCAAAGUGGGGGACCUUCGGGCCUCACGCCAUCGGAUGUGCCCAGAUGGGAUUAGCUAGUAGGUGGGGUAAUGGCUCACCUAGGCGACGAUCCCUAGCUGGUCUGAGAGGAUGACCAGCCACACUGGAACUGAGACACGGUCCAGACUCCUACGGGAGGCAGCAGUGGGGAAUAUUGCACAAUGGGCGCAAGCCUGAUGCAGCCAUGCCGCGUGUGUGAAGAAGGCCUUAGGGUUGUAAAGCACUUUCAGCGAGGAGGAAGGCGUUGUAGUUAAUAGCUGCAACGAUUGACGUUACUCGCAGAAGAAGCACCGGCUAACUCCGUGCCAGCAGCCGCGGUAAUACGGAGGGUGCAAGCGUUAAUCGGAAUUACUGGGCGUAAAGCGCACGCAGGCGGUUUGGUAAGUCAGAUGUGAAAUCCCCGAGCUUAACUUGGGAACUGCAUUUGAAACUGGCAAGC
rnacentral:rRNA from 1 species